rnacentral:rRNA from 1 species
AUGCAAUCAAAGGAUAAAUUCUUGAUUCAGAGCACCAGGGUAGCUGCCAGCACCGACAUGGAUGAAAUCCCCCCUGAUGCUUUCAACAAGGAGGCUGAUAAGGUGAUUGAGGAAAUGAAGCUCAAGGUUGUCUACACAUUGCCCAGUGGAGGAUCACACGACUCUGGUGUCACAUGUUCAGCAAAUAGGAGCUUCAAGUAGGGCGACGACGAUCUCUUGGUGAGAUCUGCUAGCUCUAUCAUCUACGUAGGAAACAUAUGUUGGAUCUGCUAA